UGCAAAGUCGACUGACCGAUUGGGCAAUAGGCUGCAAGAGAGGACUGUAACACCCCUCAUUUCCGAAUGUUCGUAUGAACUUUUGGUGAUAAUGUAAGCAUCUAUUUUAAUUGACAAAAGAAAUAGAGUAUGAAUUAAAGGUAACCUAUUUGUAAGAUUUGGGAGAUCUGUUCAAAAAAAAAAAAAAAAAAAAAAAAAAAAGAAAGAAUCUGAGGACCUAUAUGUAAACCCUAAGGACCUAAUCGUGAAUAUGAUAAAAACAAGGACUAAACUGCAAAAUGCACCAAAUGACAAAUUCCACCGCUUAAGCCUCUCUGCCUUCGUUGUUAAGGAAGCAGAGGAGGCAGCUCGUGGGUGAUCAGGGAAAGAAAAGAAGAAGAAGAAGAAGAAGAAGAAGAAGAAGGAGAAGAGAAAGAAAAUUUGGGGCUUUUAGGGUUUUUGCUUUAAUCUUGUUACUUCGGGUCAAAAUUUGCAAAGGAUAGCGUAACUCUUGCUUAAAUGUUAAGAAUGGGCUGAGGCAGCGGAAAGUUUAGAAGACGUUGGGCAGAACUUUUGUUAGCAUAUAUGUAGUUGUGUAUAAGCUACCUUGUAUCUAAUGAAAUGUGACUAUGAAUCUAAA